rnacentral:tRNA from 1 species
CUCCUCGUAGUUCAAUGGAUAGAAUGAGCGCCUCCUAAGCGCUAGAUACAGGUUCGAUUCCUGUCGAGGGGACCA